CAGUAGCCGCGGGAAUACAGAGGGUGCAAGCGUUAAUCGGAAUUACUGGGCGUAAAGCGCGCGUAGGUGGUUUGUUAAGUUGGAUGUGAAAUCCCCGGGCUCAACCUGGGAACUGCAUCCAAAACUGGCAGGCUAGAGUAGGGCAGAGGGUGGUGGAAUUUCCUGUGUAGCGGUGAAAUGCGUAGAUAUAGGAAGGAACACCAGUGGCGAAGGCGACCACCUGGGCUCAUACUGACACUGAGGUGCGAAAGCGUGGGGAGCAAACAGGAUUAGAUACCCGCGUAGUCCCUGUCUCUUAUAC
rnacentral:rRNA from 1 species